AUUUACGAAAUUUACACUUUGCUUAGUUUAAAGAGUAAUCUAUUCAAGAUUACAAUUUAGUUUAUCUCCGAAUUUCGUGAAAAUAUUCUCCUUUAGUGUAUUAGCUGCUCUGAAAUGUAAUUAAAUCAGAUUUUCCGCCAUUUGCGCAUCAUAAAUGGAUCAUUCCUGAUUCUGGGUUUGUUCCGGCGCAUUAAUAGAAUCAUUUAAAGAUAUGUUGUGAUUAGAAGAUGCAACUUUGAGUACUGAAUAUCAUUCGGAUACGCUGUCGAUGGCCCGCAUGAAUCUGCAAAGAUGAAUUCCAACAUUUCAAAGACGGAGACUGCCUCGCACAAUAACAUUGAACGGCAAGCUGUGGAUCCCAAAGAUAUAUUUCUGGGGAUGCCGGACAAAUGGGAAAUCCAAGAGAUCAAUCAGACACAGAAGCCUGAGAUCAGCUAAUUGGAACGCAUUAUCUAUGAUAUCAGCUGAAGGAGUAUUUGGACGUGAUGAACCACGAGCUGAAAACUCUGCAACAUUACCCCACUCUCUGGAACUCGGCUGAGAAACAGAAACGAAAAUAUGUCGCUUUAAAGCUUAUUAUCUUUGUUUCUUAUUAUAGCCUCAGUUGCUUCUGUUAUGUUAUGUUGAAGGAACCGUGGCUAAAAUAUUUUAAGUCACAACGUUUUCUUAUUG